rnacentral:sRNA from 1 species
GAGAUUGAUGAAAUCG